rnacentral:lncRNA from 1 species
AUCACUUCCUCCUGAGUUGGCCCUGCCUUGGGACACUCACUCUUGAACCCCAGCCACCAUGUUGGGAGGAAGCCCAAAGGGGUCGACAGUGGGAGCCCAUGAGGAGAGGCGCAGGUGGAGAGGAGCUGAUGCCCCAGCCUAGAGCCAGCAUCCACCCCAGACACGAGUCUGCUGACUGCCCAGGAGGGACAGAGAGAAGGGCCAGGGACGGGGUGAAGGAGCAGGGAGAGUCCCUGCAGCUCGCGUGACUGCCGGCCUGUCUGUCUCGCUUUGCCUCCAGCAGCCCUCCUUCCCCUCAAACAGCCGCAUGGAAAAGGGUCCUCAUCGUCCAUCUCUCCUUCAGUCACUUAUUCGUUGGUCAAAUUCAUUCAUUCGCCAAACCUUGUUCAGAAGCCAAGCGUUGUCCUGGAUUCUGGAAGCACAGAAGUGAACAAGACAGACAAGGACUCUGCCCUCUUGUGACUUAUAUUCUAGUGAGGGGACACUGGCAAUGAGCCAUCAAACAACUAACAAAGGAGAGGCCGGCCUGGAGCUUCCAGACGACCGUGAGGACGUGUCAGCUCUGGAGCCAAGGCUGGAGGCGGCCCGUGCCCACCGUCCGCUGGAGCUAAGAGAAUUAACUCACCAGUCGCUCCCCCCUGGUCUUUUCAAACCAGGCCAGAUCCCAAGAGGGCUACCGUUUAUGCAUCCUGCCUGGACCUCAGCUUCCUCAUCUGAGAAAUGGGAGUGAUAAUGUUGACCCGCACCUCAUGAGGUCCUUGGGAGGAUGAAUGAAGCAAGCACAGUGCCUGGAACACAGCGACCCCUCGAAAGAUCUUAUUGCCUCACCCAGGGGCCACCGGGAUAAUUCCAGGUGGUAGCACAGGCUCUGGGAGAGCCCCAGGAGGCUAUUCCAAGCAAGGAAGGAUUUGGGAGGGAAGCAAGAUAAAUUACACUUACUCCGGUCUGCAAGGAAAGCAGAGGCACACGUAAAAAUGGAAUUCAGGUGGCUUCUGGAGGUGCCCACUCCCCAGGUCUCAGGCGGAGAGUUACAAGCGCUUGCACAGGAAGCUGCCAGCGUGCAGCGGGAGGAAUGAAGAGGAGAACGUUCCAGAAUUAUAGACGUGUAGAGCAGAAUUGAACUCAAUCCACAGUCUGAAGCUGAGGCACACCAGCUGCUCUAGACCAGGAAGUGAGCAAGAAUAUUAUUAACAGAAGCCGUUGAGAGUUUUGUGGUUGUUCGUUAUGCAGCAUUAUCACAAUAAUAGCUGACUAUUACACAUUGUAAAGCAUUUGGCACAGGCUCUACACAUUGUAGAUACUCAGACCCCGAGGAGAUUGAGCGCACACUGAAGUUUGGGAACCACUGAUCUCAGGAACAGGACCGAGAGAAACCUCUCGAUUUGCAGUCUCCUUCCGUCUCCUCAUCACCUGAGGUUGAGGCCCCUCUGGGCAUGGUGGCGACUCCAGCAGUGGCUGUAUUCCCAAUGUGGUUCCAGCUUUCUCUGUGUCCCUCCAUGGUGCCAACUCCCAGUGGGCAGCCCCAGCUCCUGGAUUCUGCUCUUCCAACACCCUUGUAACUAGUCGCUUUUCUAGAAAGAAGAAAAUCCUUCACAUGAGCGACCCGGUUGGGUAGCUUUGUCUUUGACUAGAGACUGACCAGUAAUGCCGAGACUCUGCAGCAGCAACUUGAAUGACAUCAAACGAAUAAGUCUUCACAGAGCACGCCAUCAGGCGAUGACUCGGGCUAACCUAAAGUGCUUUUCAGAAGGACAAUUUGUGACAAGGACACAGGUUGUUCCAGUGAUUUGAAAGAAAACCCAAACAACAGACCCAGAACAAAUACAGCUUUCAAGGUUGUGCCCACUCCCCGAUUUCGCCACUCCCUACCCCCAUUCAAGCAAGGUUCUUUGCACCCAUUGCUUCGGGGAAAAGUGGAGGCAGCCCACGAUGAAGGAGAAUGGAGUCUCGCCCUGGCUUUUGAAGUUCAAGAUUCUAUACCCUUUAUUGGGGAACGUAGGUCAUAGACAGUAAAUUUGGUAUUUAUUCUGAGUAAGAGUGUCC